GUGAGCACAAGGGAGCCAAGAGGCACCCAAGACACAGAAUGUGAGUCCAGCACUGCCUGAUCCCACCUCUCACCCAUCCAUCUGCCCAGCUAAACGUGAAAAGGUGGGAAUUGCCUCUCUUCAGCCCAGUCAGGGCCAUCAGAGCGGCACACCACCAUCAUCCAGAGGUGGAUCCCAGAGACCCACGGAGGGAAGCAGCGAUUCCAGCCCCCGGGGAAGAGCACAGUGACCGCAUGGCAGGGAAUCUCAAAGCCAGCAGACAAUGUAGCCGUCCUCCCGGGCUCAGCGCCGCUGACAAACGGGAAAAGCCCAAGUGAGCCAUCCACCUCCCUGCCCUGGCAAUUAUACUCCGAGAGAAAGGUUCAAAGCACUAUUGUGAUCAAUUAAAUCGAAAAAAGAGCGGUGUCAGCUCGCAGCCCUGGGAGGAUCCAGCCCUGUACUGAUCUCUGAAUUAAAAACGAGCAUCACAGCGUGCACAGCGUACAGUUCCUGCGGGGAAAAAAGGAAAACCCUUUUUCUAGGCAGAAGCGUUCAGCACUCGGGAGACACAAAAAGCCACGUACUGAGACAUGCCUCGCAGGGAGAGGGGAAGCGGCGGCUCAGCACCUAGGGAGCAGACAUCCAGGUCGGCAACUUGCUCUCGACGGGCUGUAAAUCACUCCUGCUCCAUUCACAGCAGAAGUCUUGCGUGAAGGUCUCGCCUCCACACAGUCCCUGCACGUCCGAAGCAAUGUUUCUUGACUCCUGGUAAGCUGAAAUUGGGAAGUUGCCCAUGAAAUACACCAAGAAAUCUCAAUAAAAAAGGAAGUACCUGC